GCCCGUUUGGCGCAAUGGUAGCGCGUCGCCCUCCUACAAGGGUCAGUUCAAACUUUGGUUUGUAAGUUGCCUUUAGUUCACAGGCGAAGGUUGCGGGUUCGAUCCCCGUGAUGGGUG